AGCAGAAGUGCACUUGCAACGACUCAAACCUAUCGCGACCAGCCAUCGUCAUGAAGCUACUCGCCACUGUUCUUUUCGCCGUCCUGGUGCUGUUCGCAAUCUACUCCGAAAUCGAAGCUCAACAGACUUUCGCAGGUAGCGAAAAAUUGUC